rnacentral:rRNA from 1 species
GACGAACGCUGGCGGCGUGCUUAACACAUGCAAGUCGAGGCGGUAAGGCCCUUUCGGGGGUACGACGAGCGGCGAACGGGUGAGUAACACGUGGGUGACCUGCCCUCGAGCUCUCGGGAUAAGCCGUGGGAAACCGGGUCUAAUACCGGAUAUGACUCUAUGACGCAUGUUGUGGGGUGGAAAGCCUUGUGCGGCUGAGGAUGGGCCCGCGGCCUAU